rnacentral:lncRNA from 1 species
AACAUCUGCUUGUGUUGCUCGAUAUACGGAGCCACAAAGGUUGACUGUUGUAGAACAGUGUAGUGUGCCUUGUUGAACAAAUUAGCAUCACUGCUCAAACAUACUUUCCUUCCAAGAGUGCCCAUUCCCCACAGCCUCCCCUCGUGGCAUGAAGUUGGAACCCCAAUCGAGUCAAUUGAGUUAAUAAAAUAACCACAAAACUCAAUCACCUCCUCUGUUCCAUAUCUCUUGGCGAUGCUUC